rnacentral:rRNA from 1 species
UAGGGAAUCUUCGGCAAUGGACGCAAGUCUGACGGAGCAACGCCGCGUGAGUGAAGAAGGUUUUCGGAUCGUAAAACUCUGCUGUUAGAGAAGAACAAGUGCUAGAGUAACUGUUAGCGCCUUGACGGUAUCUAACCAGAAAGCCACGGCUAACUACGUGCCAGCAGCCGCGGUAAUACGUAGGUGGCAAGCGUUGUCCGGAUUUAUUGGGCGUAAAGCGAGCGCAGGCGGUUCCUUAAGUCUGAUGUGAAAGCCCCCGGCUCAACCGGGGAGGGUCAUUGGAAACUGGGGAACUUGAGUGCAGAAGAGGAGAGUGGAAUUCCAUGUGUAGCGGUGAAAUGCGUAGAUAUAUGGAGGAACACCAGUGGCGAAGGCGACUCUCUGGUCUGUAACUGACGCUGAGGCUCGAAAGCGUGGGUAGCAAACAGGAUUAGAUACCCUGGUAGUCCACGCCGUAAACGAUGAGUGCUAAGUGUUGGAGGGUUUCCGCCCUUCAGUGCUGCAGUUAACGCAUUAAGCACUCCGCCUGGGGAGUACGACCGCAAGGUUG